UGCCCGGUAGCCAAGCGGUAAGGCAACGGGUUUUGAUCCCGUUAUGCGUAGGUUCGAUCCCUACCCGGGCAACAA
rnacentral:tRNA from 1 species